rnacentral:rRNA from 1 species
UGUGCAUCAGAACCUGUGCUGGUGCUGGAGGUAGGUUUCGAUUGCCGGCCGACUCGUUGGUAUCCCAUCGAUUCUGAGACCGAGUUGCUUGUACAGGAGCUAGAGUGGCGCCCGCCUUUACUCGAUUAUUGUGAAAACCUUGCCUAUCGAACUGUAGUCUUAUGCUCGCAUGAUUCUACGAUGCCUGGCCUGGUGAUCUCGGUACUUUGAGUUGGCGCUGUUUUCUGAUGUUUUAGUCAGUUACCCAUCUGACCCGUCUUGAAACACGGACCAAGGAGUCUAACAUGUGCGCGAGUCACUGGGUUGCAAAACCUAAGGGCGCAAUGAGAGUGAAGUCCGGCUUAUGUCGGCUGACAUGGGACCCCCCGCUUUGUCGGAGGUGCACCAU